rnacentral:tRNA from 1 species
GCGGAUAUAGUUCAUCGGUAGAACGCAAGCUUCCCAAGCUUGAGAGGCGGGUUCGAUUCCCGUUAUCCGCU